rnacentral:rRNA from 1 species
GUCUAUGAGCUACGUCUAAUCCUGGAGACCUGUGGAAUAAGGUACUCGAUUAAGCCAUGCGAGUCGAGAGGGUUCGGCCCUCGGCGUACUGCUCAGUAACACGUGGAAAUACCUAAGGAAGGGGAUAAUCCCGGGAAACUGGGGAUAAUACCCCAUCGGUUACAGAUGCUGGAAUGCUCUGUAAUCAAAAGUUCCGGCGCCCUAGGAUGGAUCUGCGGCCGAUUAGGUUGUUGUUGGGGUAAUGGCCCAACAAGCCAGUAAUCGGUACGGGUUGUGGGAGCAAGAGCCCGGAGUUGGAUUCUGAGACACGAAUCCAGGCCCUACGGGGCGCAGCAGGCGCGAAAACUUUACAAUGCGGGCAACCGUGAUAAGGGAACCUCGAGUGCCUGUAAAUGCAGGCUGUUCAGAUGCCUAAAACACAUCUGGAGAAAGGGCCGGGCAAGACCGGUGCCAGCCGCCGCGGUAAUACCGGCGGCUCGAGUGGUGGCCGCUUUUAUUGGGCUUAAAGCGUUCGUAGCUGGGUUGUUAAGUCUCUUGGGAAAUCUGGCGGCUUAACCGUCAGGCGUCUAAGGGAUACUGGCAAUCUUGGAACCGGGAGAGGUGAGGGGUACUUCGGGGGUAGGAGUGAAAUCCUGUAAUCCUCGAGGGACCACCUGUGGCGAAGGCGCCUCACCAGAACGGCUUCGACAGUGAGGGACGAAAGCUGGGGGAGCAAACCGGAUUAGAUACCCGGGUAGUCCCAGCCGUAAACUAUGCGCGUUAGGUGUAUCGGUGACCACGAGUUACCGAGGUGCCGAAGGGAAACCGUGAAACGUGCCGCCUGGGAAGUACGGUCGCAAGGCUGAAACUUAAAGGAAUUGGCGGGGGAGCACCACAACAGGUGGAGCCUGCGGUUUAAUUGGAUUCAACGCCGGG